rnacentral:rRNA from 1 species
GUCGAGGGGAAACGGCAUUAAGUGCUUGCACUUUUUGGACGUCGACCGGCGCACGGGUGAGUAACGCGUAUCCAACCUUCCCAUGACUAAGGGAUAACCUGCCGAAAGGCAGACUAAUACCUUAUAGUCUUCACUGACGGCAUCAGAUGUGAAGUAAAGAUUUAUCGGUUAUGGAUGGGGAUGCGUCUGAUUAGCUUGUUGGCGGGGUAACGGCCCACCAAGGCAACGAUCAGUAGGGGUUCUGAGAGGAAGGUCCCCCACAUUGGAACUGAGACACGGUCCAAACUCCUACGGGAGGCAGCAGUGAGGAAUAUUGGUCAAUGGGCGAGAGCCUGAACCAGCCAAGUAGCGUGCAGGACGACGGCCCUAUGGGUUGUAAACUGCUUUUGUAUGGGGAUAAAGUCAAUCACGUGUGAUUGUUUGCAGGUACCAUACGAAUAAGGACCGGCUAAUUCCGUGCCAGCAGCCGCGGUAAUACGGAAGGUCCGGGCGUUAUCCGGAUUUAUUGGGUUUAAAGGGAGCGUAGGCUGGAGAUUAAGUGUGUUGUGAAAUGUAGACGCUCAACGUCUGACUUGCAGCGCAUACUGGUUUCCUUGAGUACGCACAACGUUGGCGGAAUUCGUCGUGUAGCGGUGAAAUGCUUAGAUAUGACGAAGAACUCCGAUUGCGAAGGCAGCUGACGGGAGCGCAACUGACGCUGAAGCUCGAAGGUGCGGGUAUCGAACAGGAUUAGAUACCCUGGUAGUCCGCACAGUAAACGAUGGAUGCCCGCUGU